rnacentral:rRNA from 1 species
ACACUCCUACGGGAGGCAGCAGUGGGGAAUAUUGCACAAUGGGCGCAAGCCUGAUGCAGCCAUGCCGCGUGUAUGAAGAAGGCCUUCGGGUUGUAAAGUACUUUCAGCGGGGAGGAAGGCAAUACGGUUAAUAACCGUGUUGAUUGACGUUACCCGCAGAAGAAGCACCGGCUAACUCCGUGCCAGCAGCCGCGGUAAUACGGAGGGUGCAAGCGUUAAUCGGAAUUACUGGGCGUAAAGCGCACGCAGGCGGUCUGUCAAGUCGGAUGUGAAAUCCCCGGGCUCAACCUGGGAACUGCAUUCGAAACUGGCAGGCUUGAGUCUUGUAGAGGGGGGUAGAAUUCCAGGUGUAGCGGUGAAAUGCGUAGAGAUCUGGAGGAAUACCGGUGGCGAAGGCGGCCCCCUGGACAAAGACUGACGCUCAGGUGCGAAAGCGUGGGGAGCAAACAGGAUUAGAUACCCCUGUAGUCCC